CACUCCUGCCUCCCAGGUCUGACGGGGACUCCGGCUCGGAGCUGGGCCCCCGAGGCCGCCAGGGAGGUGACUGCGGGCGACGCCGGGAUUUUGGUUUGGGUAACUGGGUAGAUGGGGGCGCCAUUAUCGCGCUUCUCUUGCAGGGGGCCGGUGAAGGUUAUACGAGAGGCUCCAUCUGUCCUUAUUGAAAGUGCUCUUAACGCAGGGACCAGCCGUCUUGCUGACGCCUGGGCCACCGAGCACAGGGACAGGACGGGGUUGCUGGAGGUGCAAGCUGGGAGAAAGCAGAGAACUGACUCCAUGCAGAGUUGGGAUUAAGAGCCCCUGGACAAGGGGCCGAGGCAGUGAAGGACGUCCAUCACUCAUCUGCCACUAUCCUCCUCACAUUUAAUCCUCACAACACCCCUGUGAGGUUUAUCCGCUUCACCUGUUGCUGGGGAACACUGCUCUCCGGGGGACUUGGGGGACGACACUGUAAACAUGACUUCCUGGCCUGAUGGUGGCAGGGCUGUGUGUGCGAGUCACUGUCCAGGGACAGCACUGA
rnacentral:lncRNA from 10 species